rnacentral:rRNA from 1 species
AUUGAACGCUAGCGGGAUGCCUUACACAUGCAAGUCGCACGGAGUGGCGCACGGGUGAGUAAUGUAUCGGAACGUGCCCAGUAGCGGGGGAUAACUACGCGAAAGCGUAGCUAAUACCGCAUACUAUUGGAGCGGCCGAUAUCGGAUUAGCUAGUUGGUGGGGUAACGGCUCACCAAGGCGACGCUCCGUAGCGGGUUUGAGAGGACGACCAGCCAGACGGGGAGUUGGACACGGCCCAGACUCCUACGGCAGGCAGCAGUGGGGAAUUUUGGCCAAUGGGGGAAACCCUGAUCCAGCCAUCCCGCGUGGGCGAUGAAGGCCUUCGGGUUGUAAAGCACGUUUGGCAGGAAAGCGGUACCUGCAGAAUAAGCACCGGCUAACUACGUGCCAGCAGCCGCGGUAAUUC